rnacentral:rRNA from 1 species
GACGAACGCUGGCGGCGUGCCUAACACAUGCAAGUCGAACGGAAAGGCCCUGCUUUUGUGGGGUGCUCGAGUGGCGAACGGGUGAGUAACACGUGAGUAACCUGCCCUUGACUUUGGGAUAACUUCACGAAACUGGGGCUACUAUCGGAUAGGAGCUCCUGCUGCAUGGUGGGGGUUGGAAAGUUUCGGCGGUCGGGGAUGGACUCGCGGCUUAUCAGCUUGCUGGUGGGGUAGUGGCUUACCAAGGCUUUGACGGGUAGCCGGCCUGAGAGGGUGACCGGCCACCUUGGGACUGAGGGACGGCCCAGACUGCUACGGGGGGCAACAGUGGGAAGUAUUGCACAGUGGGCGGGCGCCUGAUGCGGAGGCGCCGCGUGCGUAAUGACGGCCUUCGGGUUAUGAACCGCUUUCGCCUGUUACGAAGCGUGAGUGACGGUAAUGGAUGAAGAAGCACCGGCUAACUACGUG